AUUUGUCUGGUUAAUUCCGAUAACGAACGAGACCUUAACCUGCUAACUAGAUUCAUUAGUAUUACUUUUGCAAUCUUCUUAGAGGGACUAUGUAAAACAAAUACAUGGAAGUUUGAGGCAAUAACAGGUCAGUGAUGCCCUUAUAUGUCCUGGGCUGCACGCGUGCUACACUGAUGCAUACAACAAGUGCCUAACCAGACAUGGUAUGGCAAUCUCGAAUAUGCAUCGUGAUGGGGAUAGAUCUUUGCAAUUAUAGAUCUUGAACGAGGAAUUCCUAGUAAGUGCAAGUCAUCAUCUUGCAUUGAUUAUGUCCCUGCCCUUUGUACACACCGCCCGUCGCUCCUACCGAUACCGGGUGAUCCGGUGAACCUUUUGGACUCUUUACUGGGAAAGAUAAGUAAACCAUAUCACCUAGAGGAAGGAGAAGUCGUAACAAGGUUUCCGUAGGUGAACCUGCRGAAGGAUCA
rnacentral:rRNA from 1 species